CGGGUGAGUAACGCGUGAGGAAUCUGCCUCAAAGAGGGGGACAACAUUGGAAACGACUGCUAAUACCGCAUAAGCCCACGGCUCGGCAUCGAGCAGAGGGAAAAGGAGCAAUCCGCUUUGAGAUGGCCUCGCGUCCGAUUAGCUAGUUGGUGAGGUAACGGCCCACCAAGGCGACGAUCGGUAGCCGGACUGAGAGGUUGAACGGCCACAUUGGGACUGAGACACGGCCCAG
rnacentral:rRNA from 1 species